rnacentral:lncRNA from 1 species
UUGCUUGUUUCUCAGUUUUCACUGGUUGCUAUAUGCUCUUUGUAUGGGGAAUCAUCUUUGCUUAAAAAUUAAGUUCUGUACUUUGGUACACACACCAUCUCAUUGAUAAAUGUUUAACUUCAAUAAAAAAUAAAAGAUGGAAUACAUAUACAGGCCACUGAACUAUUUCACUUUUCCCGUAUAGGCACCUCAAUUAAGCCAGGGUUUGUAUGUAUGUAUAUAUAUAGAGAGACGGAUACAUAUAUAGGCCCCUGAACUAUUUCACUUUUCCCGUAUAGGCACCUCAAUUAAGUCAGGUACGUAUUGAACCCUUUAC